ACUUAAAACACAGAAAGCUUGUAUUGUUAUGUGAUAGGGAUUGACAUCACAUGCCCAGAUUUCCUUAAUUUUAGAAAUUCAGUUCAAAAGUUUGUAUUGCUGUGUCUAAACUGGAUAGGUAAGGAGAUGUAAAAUGAAUAAUUUCGUUAUCCCUUUUAUGUUGCUUUUUCUUAUUCUACGAUAUACAGCAGUUUGUGAGAGGGAUGCCCCUAACCUAAGUUAUCAGCUGUGGACCAUGGGAACAGGCAGAGCUGAGGCCUCCCACUCUUGAGUGACUGUUGACUGUGACUAUAUUUUGUUGCUAUGUAACAGAUGGCAGCAGAGGAGCAGUCUGACACAGUGGUGUCUGACGUGGAAGUGUAGAUGAAGCAAAGGGCUCAGAAUGCCUAGUCUGUGACCAAAUGAGAAAGCCUUCUAGAGCAGUUUUGUUGGAGUGGAUGGAAUUUCCCAAAGGACAACAUGCAGAAUAUUAUAUUGUAACCUACCAGCUCACAGACGCUUUCAAUCAAAAAAAUAUAAAAAACAUUUCUGAAGUUGAGCAAAAGCCUAUCAGUACUACAGUUCUGCUGGAGGAAAAUAAGCAUUAUGACGUUACAAUAGAAUCCCUAAAAAAUGGACAAAUUCUAAGUGUAAAGUCAUUUAAGACACGUGGAAUUUCAGAAAAUGACAUCAAAAUACUUGUGACGGCCACUACUGUAUCUUUUAAUUUGAGUGCAGUGACCAAAGAAUUUGCAAUUUCAGUUUCACUGAAUGAUACUUCUCGGAUUAUACAAAAAAAUAGCGGAUUCUUUGCCUGGAAUGAUUUGACACCUGGCACCUUAUAUACAUUUGAGCUUAUAUUGGACCAAUUACAUCUUGAAUUUAUUAAUGUGUCUCAGUCAUUGGAAGUUCAAGCUGAAACAGGCACCUGCUCCAAAGGGUGGCUGGCAUUCCAAAGUAGCUGCUAUAGAAUGGGUAAGGAGAGCAAGCCAUGGAAGGUGGCACAAGAAACAUGUGAGAAUUCUUCACAGGAGGCUCAUCUUCUUAACAUAGGGAGUGAAGAAGAACGUGGUUUUAUUUUUUCUUAUCUCCAGACAGUUAGCCACGUAGUCAUGUUAUGGACAGGUCUUAAUGACUUGAAGGAGGAAGGUCGGCUCUUGUGGACAGAUGGAUCUCAUUAUUCCCUAAAGGCUAAUGUCUCACCUUUGUCAAUGCUACCAGCAAAUGAAACAGACUGCUAUGCCCUUCAGAGAGAUCCCACUGGUCCAGACUAUUUCUUCAUGGGAUUUUUCUGCUUUAUACAGCUACCAUAUAUUUGUGAAUAUGAAUGUAACUAUAUUUCUUCCAAUCUUCUGCAUUAAUUUUAAACUCCCACCCCUUCAUCUUCAAAAAUACAAAUAUGAAGAAAGUGUCCAUGAUAUUUAAUGGCUUUUUAUUUUUAUGUUUAUUUUAUUUUUAUGUUUUCAGUACCUCUGAUACCAGAAAACUCCAUAUUCACUGUUUCUGAUGUCAAGACAACUGAAGUUGCAUUUACGUGGAGUUAUAUGGAUAUCUGGCUUAAGUCAGGCUUUGCACUCAUAGUGAAGUACUAUUUUGAUCAUUUGAAACCACACAGUCUGAGCUUGCCUGUGAAUACAACUCAAGCAAAAAUUGUGCAGUUGUGUCCUGGUCUUUGCUAUAGGUUUUUAUUAGUCGCGAGGAACGCUGAAGGGGCACAGGCUGUCUUAAGUCCAAUUCUGAAGGUAGAAACAAGGCCAUUGCACUCCCAGACGUUAGAGACUACGUAUGUUUCAUCUGCAGAAAUACAUUUAAAGUGGAAGCCUCCACAGCAUUCUUCCUGUGCUCAUUUUCAUAAUUACCUUAUUAACAUUUUGGAUACUGAAACCAAUGCCUGGGAACAGUUGCCAGUUGAAAAAAACAAGACAUCAACAGUAAUAGGAAAUAUAAAACCUUAUCAUCAGUACCAGCUAUAUGUGCAGAAUGUAGCAGAGAAAGGAACUCUAAGUUGCCAUGAAAAGCCUAUAUUAAUCACAACAGGUGAUGUAUCACUUUUCUGUUUGGUUGGCUGGUUUUAUUCUUUCCUCUAGACAGUUUACAUUGAAAAUGGGAUGCAUAAAUAUAUUUUUAAAGUUAUGUGCGGGUUGAGGUUUGUUGGUAUGUGUUGAGGGAAAAUUGGGGCAAUUCUUUUUCAGUUUUUUUUCUGUUUAAUAAUUUUAAUCUUCAGAACCUUUCAAAAAAGUGAACAUACCUGUCAUGUACCAUGACAGUACCUAUCUUCUUUUUGACUUGGUAACUUAAGCUAUAAUACUGAAGCAGUGGCAUCAUAUUUGAUGUAUACUGAUUUAUGGUUUAUAUACUAAUGUAAUUUUAACAAAGUAGAAACAUUUCCGUGAUGUCUCAAAUGAUGUUGCUGAAGUCAGAUUAAAUUUUCCAAAUCAUUGAUCCUGUGACUCAAAUUGUGUCAUCUUUUGUGUCUGUAUAUUCAAUGGAACAGAAUAUGCAUGUAAAAUCAGGCACUAUUUUUAUGAGAAAAAGUAGGAGAAUCUGCCUGUAACAUGUGUCUAAAAACUGUCUACAAGCCAUUUAAUAAAUACAUAAGUAGAAGAUUUAAAAUCAUGAAAUAUCUGAAGUAAGAAUGAAGCAAACUGUUUUUGGGAAGAGUUUCUUAAGAGAUGGUAUAUUU